CUAGCAACUAGCCAUAUGCCCAUAUAUCCGGAGGUCGUCGGCCUCGCAUCGCAGGAGUCCCAAAUAGCAAGCCAACGACCACUCACAGAAAAUCGGCUUUUCUUUGCAACACCAACGCGGGAAAGCGCAUGGUCCCCCGGACCGGCGCGUCCAACGCCAACUCCAACUGCCAACCAAACCAGAAAACUUUCCCACAAAUCAAGGACGCUGUCCAAAUCCUACUCACCCCCUCAUCCAGCCACAGAUGCUCAAAUGGAGUAGUCGUGAUCACACACACACACAAAAUAAAAACAGCCUUGCUUUCUCCUGUUUUUGAGCCGGCAGACCAAUGGCAGCUCAUAAAGCAGGUCAUGAAGUAGUAUCCCCCAAUUAUGCCUACAGGCUACAGCGUCUACUGGCCCCAUUUUCCCUGGAAAUCCUCCAAUUUGAGCUGCUAACUGCCACACUGUGACACCCUGGAGCCGAGAGUGACAUGGCUUGGAAGUGAGCAGCUGGAAGAAGAUACAUACGCAGUGUUUUUGUCCAUUGUCCGUCCAUCCAACCAGGCAAAACGAGUGUCCACAAGAACCGGGAAAUCGCCAGAUAUGAUGUAUGGAAAAAUCUGCAUUCAAACAACAGUGCCAUGCAGAUGAACACGCGCACCUGUGGGUCGCGAUCAGAGAAAACUGGAUCGCAUUCCAGGUCUCAAUCACCGUCCAGAAACCAGCGUCACAGUCGCCUCUUGUGUCUAUUAUUGUCUUAUUUCGGUUUUAAGGCUACCUGAUGACGCAUUAAUUCAGCAAAGCAUCAGCGUCACUGUCCGUUGUCCCAGCUCCUAUUGCAGUUAGGUUUCUCUAACAUGGGAGCAUAGUACGCUGUGCUGUCGAUGCGUCGCACAGCUGCCUGAAACCUGAAGCUUUUUUUUUUUUUUUGGCAGGCACCAAACUGAAGCUGUGUGUCACAUGAUCUUAGGUACAACAGUGCAAUCAGGGUUAGCGUGUUGGAGCAGCUGCAGCUUUGAAGAUUGGAGCCGCACCCGAUGCCUCUUCAGGCUCCAGUUAGGAGACGGCCUGACGCCCUGACCACGGUCUCCAAUAAUUGAGAUGGUUCUGGUACAAUCAUGAUCAUCAUAGAACUAAAAGAAUACAGUAGCAACAAUGACUACAACUGAGAUGAUGUUAAGGAGCAGGGAGUAGUGUUGAUACAGCCCAGCAGCCCUUCACCGCUCCUGUUUUAAGCUCAGAAUUAUGGCAGAACAGAACAGUUAGCAAAUUUGCAAACUUCCAGGCAAUUCUUUGAGUCAAGAUCACAAGAUACAUGAUCAAAGGACAGCUACAAGGCAGCACAUAGCCAAACCAAGAAACAUUAAAAAGCAGGGGAGUGAGGAGACUAAAGGAAUGAA